GACGAACGCUGGCGGCGUGCUUAACACAUGCAAGUCGAACGGAAAGGCCCUGCUCUUGUGGGGUGCUCGAGUGGCGAACGGGUGAGUAACACGUGAGUAACCUGCCCUUGACUUUGGGAUAACUUCAGGAAACUGGGGCUAAUACCGGUUAGGAGCUCCUGCUGCAUGGUGGGGGUUGGUAAGUUUCGGCGGUUGGGGAUGGACUCGCGGCUUAUCAGCUUGUUGGUGGGGUAGUGGCUUACCAAGGCUUUGACGGGUAGCCGGCCUGAGAGGGGGACCGGCCACAUUGGGACUGAGAUACGGCCCAGACUCCUACGGGAGGCAGAAGUGGGGAAUAUUGCACAAUGGGCGGAAGCCUGAUGCAGCAACGCCGCGUGCGGGAUGACGGCCUUCGGGUUGUAAACCGCUUUCGCCUGUGACGAAGCGUGAGUGACGGUAAUGGGUAAAGAAGCACCGGCUAACUACGUG
rnacentral:rRNA from 1 species